rnacentral:misc_RNA from 1 species
UUCUGGUUUUCAGUCUCCCAUUUUCGGAGAGAGAGGUAGAACCCUAAGCCUAAGCAAUGGCUCCCAAGACACCUAAGGUGAGCAGGAACCCAAAUCUAGUUCGAGGAAUUGGUAAGUACUCGAGAUCUCAGAUGUACCACAAGCGGGGUCUGUGGGCUAUCAAGGCCAAGAAUGGCGGUGUUUUCCCCAAGCACGACCCCAAACCCAAGGCAGCUGCUCCUGCUGAGAAGCCACCGAAGUUCUACCCGGCUGACGAUGUUAAGAAGCCUCUGCUUAACAAGCGCAAGCCUAAACCCACCAAACUCAGGGCCAGCAUUACUCCAGGAACUGUUUUG